rnacentral:lncRNA from 1 species
UGUAGAAUAUAAUACAAAUAAAGAAAGACCACAGACUGGUUCUGGUUCUCUCUCUAUCUCCUCUCUCUCCCUCUCUCUCCCUCUCUCUCUCUCUCUCUCAGCUGGCUCUUGCAGCAGCACCGUCAGGGUCUGAGAUCUUCCUCUUCACUGAUGCAGGACCAGCACUAACAGACAUUCUGCUGAAGAGCACGAUAGAGGCGAUGAUCGAGAGCACAAAGUCCACGGUGAACUUCAUUUUGACCAAUCCUCUGACCAACCUGACCUCCAUCGUCCCGAACCCUGUGAACCUGCUGUAUCAGCAGAUAGCCGAGGCCUCGGGAGGACACUUCAUCGAGGUCUCUAAAGAACAACUGCCCAACGCUACCAGCCUGAUUACCAACUCAACCAUCUCCGGCCUGGUGAACAUAUUCUACGUGGUGAAGGGCAGCGGGGGGGCGGGUCAGUACACCAUCUUGGUGGACCCCACUGUGACGAACCUGACCUUCUACAUCACAGGAAGUUUAACAGUGUUCACCAUCACAUCUCCCUCUGGUCAGAUUCAGGCCAGUCUGCAGUCAGAAGGUUCACUGGGAAUAAUUGAAACUGUGGCCAACCUGCAAACAGUGAGAAUCAACUCCUCCAACCCAGCGGGAAACUGGACCCUCAACAUCGCCUCACUACUGUCCUGCACUAUCAAAGUCACCGGUAACAUUCAUUAAUCAAUUACAUCAUUAAAAUCACUGAAUCACUUUAUUUAGAUC